AUUGAACGCUGGCGGCAGGCUUAACACAUGCAAGUCGAGCGGAGAUGAGGUGCUUGCACCUUAUCUUAGCGGCGGACGGGUGAGUAAUGCUUAGGAAUCUGCCUAUUAGUGGGGGACAACAUUCCGAAAGGAAUGCUAAUACCGCAUACGUCCUACGGGAGAAAGCAGGGGAUCUUCGGACCUUGCGCUAAUAGAUGAGCCUAAGUCGGAUUAGCUAGUUGGUGGGGUAAAGGCCUACCAAGGCGACGAUCUGUAGCGGGUCUGAGAGGAUGAUCCGCCACACUGGGACUGAGACACGGCCCAGACUCCUACGGGAGGCAGCAGUGGGGAAUAUUGGACAAUGGGGGGAACCCUGAUCCAGCCAUGCCGCGUGUGCGAAGAAGGCCUUAUGGUUGUAAAGCACUUUAAGCGAGGAGGAGGCUACUGAGACUAAUACUCUUGGAUAGUGGACGUUACUCGCAGAAUAAGCACCGGCUAACUCUGUGCCAGCCGCCGCGGUAAAAC
rnacentral:rRNA from 1 species